rnacentral:rRNA from 1 species
AUUCGAAGCAUGUUGUUUAAUUCGAUAACCCACGAUAAAUCUUACCACUUCUUGUAUAUUACAUGUAUGUCAAAGUAUAUGUAUUACAGGUGUUGCAUGGCUGUCUUUAGUUCGUGUUGUGAAAUGUUAGGUUAAUUCCGAGAACGAACGCAACCCUUAUCUUUAAUUGAUAAUUAACUUAAAGAAGUAUCUUUCCAUAAGAAGGAAUAAUUAGGAUGAAGACAAGUCCUCAUGACCCUUAUGAAGUGGGCUACAGACGUGCCACAAUGAUUUCCCCAAUAGGAAGCAAAGACGUUAAGUCAGAGCUAAUCCCAGAAAAGAAAUAUAAGUACGG